AAAAAUAGUUUUGUUGUAAUUUGAAAGUUUGGCGGACUUCUCAUUCAGGGGUGUUACAUCUGAUAUAGUAAUGUAGGCCAAGGUUAGUCCCAUAUGCUGCUCCAUUACCUGUUCGUCAUAAAAGCAGCGAGCAUUCUGGGGUCUUUCGAUGGAGUGGAGGAGCGUAUGCACAUUCCCGAUAACAAUCAUUGGCCGUUUUCGAUAGUCGAAGAUCAUAGCCAUGAGGUCAGUUCGAAUCCAAGACAUUAUUGAGGUUCCGGUAGCAAUUAAAUUCUGAAAUUUGUAACUUGCUAGGAAAAUUUCUACUUUUUUUACGACAAGGGAAUACUUAGAAAAGAUUGCAACUUGAUAAUGUGGUGUAUUCAAUUUGACAUAGCAGCGCUGCUCCAUAUUCUUUCUAUAGAAGGUUUGUUUUGCGGUAAAGCUGACAGGGUGAGUUAUAUUAUAAAGACGACUACUUCUAUUUUUAUUUGCAUGGACAAUGGCUGGAAUACUGUGUCAGGAAAAGUCGCUUGUUAAAAAUCAAAUUCUCAGUCGAAACAUUACCUGCGGAUUAAAUGUAAAUAUAAAAAGGUGCUACAUAUCACCGAUAUUAUACCUUUGAAUGAAAUUCUAUUUAAGUGCUUUAUGUGUAAUUUUAGAUUAAAUUAGCUGAUAAGGUUUCUGUUGGGUUAAGUAUGUUUUAAAUGUAGUGUCCACCAUUUAUGAAUAAAAUGCGAUUUUUGUGUUUCAAUAAUCGCAUUCCAACAAACCUAAAGUCCUAAUUUAAGAAUCAGAUAAGUAUAUAUGAAUGUAAGUCACGAAGGUAAAAUUUAUGUUGAACGAUUUGUAAGAAAUGCCAACAAACAACUAGUCCCAUAACGAAAAAUGUUUUACUCUUGAAUGCUUUAAAUCUAUGCUUCUGUGAUGUUCGUAGUAUGCAAAUAUUUAUUUUUCCUACUCUAGUAGUAAAGUUCGCUGGUAUUGAGCUCACGUAUCGUUUUCUUCACUCUCAAAUAAUUGUCGUAACGAAGUAAUACUCCAAACUUUAAGAAGUUCCUUGUUGUUUCUUGUAUUAUUCGAUAUAGGCUCAACGGCAGAACUCACAAGAACAAUGGUGAAACUUUUUGUUGAAUAACGCGAGACACACAACCAUACUCGUACAUAUAGUUUAAACAAGAAUUGCAUAAUAGUGGCGAAGGUUGUUUGGAAUGAAGGAAAAAUCACGUAAAGACUUGAAUGAUUUUCUCUAGAAUAACGCCUUUUCAUUCUGGUCACACAAGUUGCAUUCAAACAUUUACUUUUUCAUGCUCAGUAUUAUUCGUAAUUUUCAA